UCCCCGUUCUCCUGUGCAGUUCGAACCCAGGUAAGGUUCUGCGCGUUGCUUCGAAUUAAACCACAUGCUCCACCGCUUGUGCGGGCCCCCGUCAAUUCCUUUGAGUUUCAGUCUUGCGACCGUACUCCCCAGGCGGAGUGCUUAAUGUGUUGACUUCGGCACAGCAGGGGUCGAUACCCGCUACACCAAGCACUCAUCGUUUACGGCGUGGACUAC
rnacentral:misc_RNA from 1 species